CAGCAGCCGCGGUAAUACGUAGGGUGCAAGCGUUAAUCGGAAUUACUGGGCGUAAAGCGUGCGCAGGCGGUUUUGUAAGACAGAGGUGAAAUCCCCGGGCUCAACCUGGGAACUGCCUUUGUGACUGCAAGGCUGGAGUGCGGCAGAGGGGGAUGGAAUUCCGCGUGUAGCAGUGAAAUGCGUAGAUAUGCGGAGGAACACCGAUGGCGAAGGCAAUCCCUUGGGCCUGCACUGACGCUCAUGCACGAAAGCGUGGGGAGCAAACAGGAUUAGAUACCCCAGUAGUCCCUGUCUCUUAUAC
rnacentral:rRNA from 1 species